rnacentral:ncRNA from 2 species
ACAAUUGAAUUACUCCGAAGCUGAGUUACCUAAAGCAUCUGCAAUGGUGACCAGACAAGUGUCAUAGGCACUCGGGUAUUAUGGGAAACUGUAAUAUCUCCUGUUGGAAAGGAGUCUGUCGACAGGUGGA